rnacentral:misc_RNA from 1 species
CCUAAAUUUAUUUAUAUCAACAAAAAAAAAUUUUUGAUAUAUUAAAAUUUUAUAGCACAAUAAAUAGAGAAAAUUUUAUAUACUUUUUAAUAUAAAAGUUAAUACAAUAGAAAAAUAAUUAAGUAAUUCAAGUUAACACUAACAAAAUAAAUUACUGGCUUUCAAAAAAAAAAAACAAAUUACUGACUCAAGACAUAAAUUGAUCAAGUGGAGAAACUUUUAUCUUCCCUCCACUGGUCAUGGGUUCAAAAUUCAGUAUAAGCAGUUCCCA